rnacentral:lncRNA from 1 species
GGGCAAAAGAUGUUACUCUGUAGUUCGUACGCGACGUCCAUGAAUAAACCGACGUCAUUAACCAACCAUCAUUAGGUUUAGUCACGUGUGUCCAAAGUGCCAUACAGCCGUGGACUACAGCACAAGCGUCUUCUCAUGGCAUCUUCAACGCUAAUCCAUAAAUUUACUUCCGUUCGUCAAAAGGUGAAUUAGUUUGUAAAGAGGCGGCUCCUACGGAUCAACCGACUGAUUUUCUAGGAAAUCAGUCGGGUCCCCAG